rnacentral:rRNA from 1 species
GACGAACGCUGGCGGGGGGAGGAACACAUGCAAGUCGAACGGAAAGGCCCUGCUUUUGUGGGGUGCUCGAGUGGCGAACGGGUGAGUAACACGUGAGUAACCUGCCCUUGACUUUGGGAUAACUUCAGGAAACUGGGGCUAAUACCGGAUAGGAGCUCCUGCUGCAUGGUGGGGGUUGGAAAGUUUCGGCGGUUGGGGAUGGACUCGCGGCUUAUCAGCUUGUUGGUGGGGUAGUGGCUUACCAAGGCUUUGACGGGUAGCCGGCCUGAGAGGGUGACCGGCCACAUUGGGACUGAGAUACGGCCCAGACUCCUACGGGAGGCAGCAGUGGGGAAUAUUGCACAAUGGGCGGAAGCCUGAUGCAGCAACGCCGCGUGCGGGAUGACGGCCUUCGGGUUGUAAACCGCUUUCGCCUGUGACGAAGCGUGAGUGACGGUAAUGGGUAAAGAAGCACCGGCUCACUACGUG